rnacentral:rRNA from 1 species
GACGAACGCUGGCGGCGUGCUUAACACAUGCAAGUCGAACGGAAAGGGCCUGCUUUUGUGGGGUGCUCGAGUGGCAGACGGGUAAGUAACACGUGAGUGAGGUGCCCUUGCCUUUGGGAUAAGUGCAGGAAACUGGGACUAAUGCUGGAUCGGAGUUGGUGCUGCAUGGUGGGGGUUGGAAAGGUUCGGCGGGUGGGGGUGGACUCGCGGCUUAUCAGCUGGUGGGUGGAGGAGUGGCUUACCAAGGCUGUGACGGGUAGGCGGCAUGGGAGGGUGACCGGGCCCAUUGGGACUGCGAUACGGCGCAGACGCCUACGGGCCGCAACAGUGGGGAAUAUGGCGCAGUGGGCCGAAGCCUGAUGCAGCAACGUUGGGUGCGGAAUGACGGCCUUUUGGUGAUAAACCGCGUUCGCCGUUGACGAAGCGUGUGUGACGGUAAUGGGUAAAGAAGCACCGGCUAACUACGUG